AGGGCACGUGACAGCCGCAUGGUGAAGGGCACGUGACAGCCGCGUGGUGAAGGGCACGUGACAGCCGCGUGGGUGCCCCUGUUGCUUCCCUCAGGCCCUCUUGGCAGCAACACAUCAGCUUCUGGUGAGACACUUCCUGGUGUAGUUCCCUCCCAGGCACCCUAGAGGGCGUAUUUCUGGCAACGUCCCAGGGCAUAUUCCAGAAAGUUCCACGUGUGAGGCCCAACGCGUUUACCGUUAUUUUGUAGGUUGCCUCCAGGCUCCUCCAGAUGACCCCGAAGCUGUAGCCGUGGCUGCCCUGGGAAUGAUGCCGGCUACAUCGUCAUUACGUCUGGAGGAGAUCAAUGCUGAUCUAAAACAUCAAUUAAUGAAGGAAAUUCGACGGUUUGGACGCCAAUAUGAAAAUAUCUUCAGAUUGCUUCAAGGAGUGCAAGGACCACCAGAAGUGAGGAGACAAUUUGUUGAAUUUACCAUCAGGGAAGCAGCAAGAUUUAAAAGAAAAGACUUAAUUAAUCGCCUUGAGAUGAUGCUAGAAAAAAAUGAAAUAUGACUACUUUCUCAACAAAGAUUAUCACACUCCAAGCAUAUAAUUCAGUUAUCUCAACAGUCAAUGAGAAAGAACCAGAGCGCUGUUUUCUAGAAUGAAAUGUAGUGUUGUUGAAGCCUCCUAGCAUGUAUUAAUUAAGAGAAUUGCCUUCCGGAGGCUGUGGAAAAGCAGUGGGGCUUCUUAAUGUUAUUAAUUUCUGUUAGUAAAAGCUGGGCUUUUGCCCUGAGAAUUCAUUUGAA